AGGGUUCGAUUCUGGCUCAGGAUGAACGCUGGCGGCGUGCCUAACACAUGCAAGUCGAACGGAAAUUAAGCGCUUCGGAGACUUCGGUCAAUGUUUGCUUGGUUUAGUGGCGGACGGGUGAGUAACGCGUGGAUAACCUGCCUCAUACAGGGGGAUAACAGUUAGAAAUGACUGCUAAUACCGCAUAAGCGCACGGGAUCGCAUGUUCCCGUGUGAAAAAACUCCGGUGGUAUGAGAUGGAUCCGCGUCUGAUUAGCUGGUUGGCGGGGUAACAGCCCACCAAGGCGACGAUCAGUAGCCGGCCUGAGAGGGUGAACGGCCACAUUGGGACUGAGACACGGCCCAAACUCCUACGGGAGGCAGCAGUGGGGGAUAUUGCACAAUGGGGGAAACCCUGAUGCCAGCGACGCCGCGUGAGUGAAGAAGUAUUUCGGUAUGUAAAGCUCUAUCAGCAGGGAAGAUAAUGACGGUACCUGACUAAGAAGCACCGGCUAAAUACGUGCCAGCCGCGGC
rnacentral:rRNA from 1 species